rnacentral:rRNA from 1 species
UGGGGAAUAUUGCACAAUGGGCGCACGCCUGAUGCAGCCAUGCCGCGUGUAUGAAGAAGGCCUUCGGGUUGUAAAGUACUUUCAGCGGGGAGGAAGGUGUUGAGGUUAAUAACCUCAGCAAUUGACGUUACCCGCAGAAGAAGCACCGGCUAACUCCGUGCCAGCAGCCGCGGUAAUACGGAGGGUGCAAGCGGUAAUCGGAAUUACUGGGCGUAAAGCGCACGCAGGCGGUCUGUCAAGUCGGAUGUGAAAUCCCCGGGCUCAACCUGGGAACUGCAUUCGAAACUGGCAGGCUAGAGUCUUGUAGAGGGGGGUAGAAUUCCAGGUGUAGCGGUGAAAUGCGUAGAGAUCUGGAGGAAUACCGGUGGCGAAGGCGGCCCCCUGGACAAAGACUGACGCUCAGGUGCGAAAGCGUGGGGAGCAAACA